UGGGGAAUUUUGGACAAUGGGGGAAACCCUGAUCCAGCCAUCCCGCGUGUGCGAUGAAGGCCUUCGGGUUGUAAAGCACUUUUGGCAGGAAAGAAACGUCGCGGGUUAAUACCCCGCGAAACUGACGGUACCUGCAGAAUAAGCACCGGCUAACUACGUGCCAGCAGCCGCGGUAAUACGUAGGGUGCAAGCGUUAAUCGGAAUUACUGGGCGUAAAGCGUGCGCAGGCGGUUCGGAAAGAAAGAUGUGAAAUCCCAGAGCUUAACUUUGGAACUGCAUUUUUAACUACCGGGCUAGAGUGUGUCAGAGGGAGGUGGAAUUCCGCGUGUAGCAGUGAAAUGCGUAGAUAUGCGGAGGAACACCGAUGGCGAAGGCAGCCUCCUGGGAUAACACUGACGCUCAUGCACGAAAGCGUGGGGAGCAAACAGGAUUAGAUACCCUGGUAGUCCACGCCCUAAACGAUGUCAACUAGCUGUUGGGGGCCUUCGGGCCUUGGUAGCGCAGCUAACGCGUGAAGUUGACCGCCUGGGGAGUACGGUCGCAAGAUUAAAAACUC
rnacentral:rRNA from 1 species